CGACCAACUGCCACCAUGGAUGUUGCCGCAACAACUCCUCUGAUGUCCUGUGGUUGCUGUGAUUUUGCCGCUUAGAUGCCUGAUAGACGAAACAGAUCUCCUUUAUUCCCUGGAUCAUCUAUUCCGUUGCUGCUGCAGUUUAUGGGAAGAUGAUGUGAGUAUUGCUAGGCAUCAUGAGAACAGCUUAAGAGGAGGACGGCUAUAGGGGCUAAUGAUUUGUCCGUGAGAAAAGAGACAGUCACCAGAACAAGAGUAUUGUCAGAAACAGCUAAGGGGCCUAUAGAAAUCAGGAGAACUGGCUUCGGAUCACCUCCCAGUAGCACCAUGAUCUUUAUGAAGAUAAACGUUUGUAUAUAUAGAAAAGUUAAAAAAUUAUUGAAAAUUCUCCCUUUUUGGCAGUUGCAACAUGAUUGGUGACAGUGUAUUAAAAUAGUAAGAACUUGUACAUAGAAAAAAAGCGUUUGUAAAUAUUAAAAAAUUGAGCAAAUGAUUUAAAAUUCUCCUUUUUUUUUGGAGUUGCAACAGGUUUUAUAGCUGGUAAGUGAAGAAGACGCCUUGGCUUUUCCCAAGCAUUCCAGAAAUAUUCCAUUUUGGGAGUUGCAACAGGAUUUGUGUCCCAAAAUGGUGAAGAAGUAGCUUUUGUAUGAAAAACAUGUGAUCUUGCUGCUAGCUGCCAGGAAUGCUGGGUUACCCUGAUAUCAUCUUAGUGUUUCUAGUAUUUUCUUCCUUUAUUCAGGUGCAAAAAACAUAAUUCCUUCUGCUACCAUUACUGCUGUUGCCAGAUAGCAAAGAAGUAGUGUAUCUGGUAUUACCGUAUAUAACUGAGCAAGCGAAAAGACAGCGACUAAUGCUGG